CACGUAGGGUGCGAGCGUUGUCCGGAAUUAUUGGGCGUAAAGAGCUCGUAGGCGGCGUGUCGCGUCGGCCGUGAAAACCUGCAGCUUAACUGUGGGCUUGCGGUCGAUACGGGCAUCACUGGAGUUCGGCAGGGGAGACUGGAAUUCCUGGUGUAGCGGUGAAAUGCGCAGAUAUCAGGAGGAACACCGGUGGCGAGGGCGGGUCUCUGGGCCGAUACUGAC
rnacentral:rRNA from 1 species